ACUGCUCAGUAACACGUGGAUAACCUGCCCUUGGGUCCGGCAUAACCCCGGGAAACUGGGGAUAAUUCCGGAUAACGCACAUAUGCUGGAAUGCUUUAUGCGUAAAAUGGAUUCGUCUGCCCAAGGAUGGGUCUGCGGCCUAUCAGGUAGUAGUGGGUGUAAUGUACCUACUAGCCAACAACGGGUACGGGUUGUGAGAGCAAGAGCCCGGAGAUGGAUUCUGAGACAUGAAUCCAGGCCCUACGGGGCGCAGCAGGCGCGAAAACUUUACAAUGCGGGAAACCGUGAUAAGGGGACACCGAGUGCCAGCAUCAUAUGCUGGCUGUCCAGGUGUGUAAAAUACACCUGUUAGCAAGGGCCGGGCAAGACCGGUGCCAGCCGCCGCGGUAACACCGGCGGCCCGAGUGGUGAUCGUGAUUAUUGGGUCUAAAGGGUCCGUAGCCGGUUUGGUCAGUCCUCCGGGAAAUCUGACGGCUCAACCGUUAGGCUUUCGGGGGAUACUGCCAGGCUUGGAACCGGGAGAGGUAAGAGGUACUACAGGGGUAGGAGUGAAAUCUUGUAAUCCCUGUGAGACCACCUGUGGCGAAGGCGUCUUACCAGAACGGGUUCGACGGUGAGGGACGAAAGCUGGGGGCACGAACCGGAUUAGAUACCCGGGUAGUCCCAGCCGUAAACGAUGCUCGUUAGGUGUCAGGCAUGGCGCGUCCGUGUCUGGUGCCGCAGGGAAGCCGUGAAGCGAGCCACCUGGGAAGUACGGCCGCAAGGCUGAAACUUAAAGGAAUUGGCGGGGGAGCAC
rnacentral:rRNA from 1 species